CACCGCGGUUAUACGAGUGACCCAAGUUGAUAGUUGUCGGCGUAAAGAGUGGUUAAGACGAAAAUAAACUAAAGCCGAAUGCCCUCAGAGCUGUUAUACGCUUCCGAAGGUAAGAAGCCCAACUACGAAAGUGGCUUUAUGAUAUCUGAUCCCACGAAAGCUAGGGCA
rnacentral:rRNA from 1 species